rnacentral:snoRNA from 1 species
UGGAGGAUUGAGAAGGUGUAGCAGCUUCAUACUGUGCUGUUAUAACUGGUUAAUAACCUCCUACAUUAAAAUCGGGUAGAUGCAACAAACUGGCUUAUAUGAGACGUUCAUUACAGCUAAUGUUGCGUUUGUGCACAAAACUA